rnacentral:rRNA from 1 species
AGUGAACGCUGGCGGCAGGCCUAAUACAUGCAAGUCGAACGGCAGCACAGCAGAGCUUGCUCUGGUGGGUGGCGAGUGGCGGACGGGUGAGGAAUACAUGGGAAUCUGCCCAGUCGUGGGGGAUAACGUAGGGAAACUUACGCUAAUACCGCAUGCGCCCUUCGGGGGAAAGCCGGGGACCUUCGGGCCUGGCGCGAUUGGAUGAGCCCAUGUCGGAUUAGCUAGUUGGCGGGGUAAUGGCCCACCAAGGCGACGAUCCGUAGCUGGUCUGAGAGGAUGAUCAGCCACACUGGAACUGAGACACGGUCCAGACUCCUACGGGAGGCAGCAGUAGGGAAUAUUGGACAAUGGGCGAAAGCCUGAUCCAGCGACGCCGCGUGGAGGAAGAAGUCCUUCGGGAUGUAAACUUCUGAACUAGCCGAAUAAAAGGCCUGUGGACACACAGGAGAAGAAAGUAGGCUAGGAAAAGUCCCGGCUAACUACGUG